rnacentral:rRNA from 1 species
AGUGAACGCUGGCGGUAGGCCUAACACAUGCAAGUCGAACGGCAGCACAGUAAGAGCUUGCUCUUACGGGUGGCGAGUGGCGGACGAGUGAGGAAUACAUCGGAAUCUACUUUUUCGUGGGGGAUAACGUAGGGAAACUUACGCUAAUACCGCAUACGACCUACGGGUGAAAGCAGGGGAUCUUCGGACCUUGCGCGAUUGAAUGAGCCGAUGUCGGAUUAGCUAGUUGGCGGGGUAAAGGCCCACCAAGGCGACGAUCCGUAGCUGGUCUGAGAGGAUGAUCAGCCACACUGGAGCUGAGACACGGUCCAGACUCCUACGGGAGGCAGCAGUGGGGAAUAUUAGACAAUGGGCGCGAGCCUGAUCCAACCAUACCGCGUGGGUGAAGAAGGCCUUCGGGUUGUAAAGCCCUUUUGUUGGGAAAGAAAAGCAGCAGGUUAAUACCCCGCUGUUCUGACGGUACCCAAAGAAUAAGCACCGGCUAACUUCGUG